rnacentral:rRNA from 1 species
UGGGGAAUAUUGGGCAAUGGGCGCAAGCCUGACCCAGCAACGCCGCGUGAAGGAAGAAGGCUUUCGGGUUGUAAACUUCUUUUCUCAGGGACGAAGCAAGUGACGGUACCUGAGGAAUAAGCCACGGCUAACUACGUACC